UACGGGGGGGGCAAGCGUUGUUCGGAAUUACUGGGCGUAAAGGGCUCGUAGGCGGCCAACUAAGUCGGAUGUGAAAUCCCCAGGCUUAACUUGGGAACUGCAUCCGAUACUGGAUGGCUUGAAUCCGGGAGAGGGAUGCGGAAUUCCAGGUGUAGCGGUGAAAUGCGUAGAUAUCUGGAGGAACACCGGUGGCGAAGGCGGCAUCCUGGACCGGCAUUGACGCUGAGGAGCGAAAGCGUGGGGAGCGAACAGG
rnacentral:rRNA from 1 species